AGAGCGAACGCUGGCGGCAGGCCUAACACAUGCAAGUCGAGCGCCCGUAGCAAUACGGGAGCGGCAGACGGGAUAGUAACACGUGGGAACGCGCCCUUCGGUUCGGAAUAACUCAGGGAAACUUGAGCUAAUACCGGAUACGCCCUUACGGGGAAAGAUUUAUUGCCGAAGGAACGGCCCGCGUCCGAUUAGCUAGUUGGUGAGGUAAUGGCUCACCAAGGCGACGAUCGGUAGCUGGUCUGAGAGGAUGACCAGCAUCACUGGGACUGAGACACGGCCCAGACUCCUACGGGAGGCAGCAGUGGGGAAUAUUGGACAAUGGGCGCAAGCCUGAUCCAGCCAUGCCGCGUGGAUGAUGAAGGCCUUAGGGUUGUAAAGUCCUUUUAACGGGAAGAUAAUGACGGUACCGUAGAAUAAGCCCCGGCUAACUUCGUGCCAGCAGGCCGC
rnacentral:rRNA from 1 species